UGGGGAGUAGCCAAGUGGUAAGGCAACGGCCUUUGAAGCCGUCAUUCGUAGGUUCGAACCCUACCUCCCCAGCAA
rnacentral:tRNA from 1 species